rnacentral:rRNA from 1 species
CAGCGCCACGAGUGGCAAUCAUUUUUAUUGGGCCUAAAACGUCCGUAGCCGGUUUAGUAAAUGCCUGGGUAAAUCGUGUAGCUUAACUAUACGACUUCCGGGUAGACUGCUAAACUUGAGACCGGGAGAGGCUAGAGGUACUCCUGGGGUAGAGGUGAAAUUCUGUAAUCCUAGGGGGACCACCAGUGGCGAAGGCGUCUAGCUAGAACGGGUCUGACGGUGAGGGACGAAGCCCUGGGGCACAAACCGGAUUAGAUACCCGAGUAGUCC